AUAUCAAUAAGCGGAGGAAAAGAAACUAACAAGGAUUCCCCUAGUAACUGCGAGUGAAGCGGGAAAAGCUCAAAUUUGAAAUCUGGCAGUCUUUGACUUGUCCGAGUUGUAAUCUAGAGAAGUGUUACCUGUGCUGGACCGUGUAAAAGUCUCCUGGAAUGGAGCAUCAUAGAGGGUGAGAAUCCCGUCUUUGACACGACAACCAGUGCUCUGUGAUACGUCUUCUACGAGUCGAGUUGUUUGGGAAUGCAGCUCAAAAUGGGUGGUAAAUGCCAUCUAAAGCUAAAUACUGGCGAGAGACCGAUAGCGCACAAGUA
rnacentral:rRNA from 1 species